rnacentral:miRNA from 9 species
CCAUACUUCUUUAUAUGCCAUA